UACGGAGGGUGCAAGCGUUGUCCGGAUUUAUUGGGUUUAAAAGGGUGCGUAGGCGGCCCGUUAAGUCAGUGGUGAAAGCCUCCAGCUCAACUGGAGAACUUGCCAUUGAUACUGGCGGGCUUGAGUACAGACGAGGUAGGCGGAAUUGAUUGUGUAGCGGUGAAAUGCAUAGAUACAAUCAAGAACACCGAUUGCGUAGGCAGCUUACUAGGCUGUAACUGACGCUGAGGCACGAAAGCGUGGGGAGCGAACAGG
rnacentral:rRNA from 1 species